AGUUAGCGGCGGACGGGUGAGUAACACGUGGGUAACCUGCCCAUAAGACUGGGAUAACUCCGGGAAACCGGGGCUAAUACCGGAUAACAUUUUGAACCGCAUGGUUCGAAAUUGAAAGGCGGCUUCGGCUGUCACUUAUGGAUGGACCCGCGUCGCAUUAGCUAGUUGGUGAGGUAACGGCUCACCAAGGCAACGAUGCGUAGCCGACCUGAGAGGGUGAUCGGCCACACUGGGACUGAGACACGGCCCAGACUCCUACGGGAGGCAGCAGUAGGGAAUCUUCCGCAAUGGACGAAAGUCUGACGGAGCAACGCCGCGUGAGUGAUGAAGGCUUUCGGGUCGUAAAACUCUGUUGUUAGGGAAGAACAAGUGCUAGUUGAAUAAGCUGGCACCUUGACGGUACCUAACCAGAAAGCCACGGCUAACUACGUGCCAGCAGCCGCGGUAAUACGUAGGUGGCAAGCGUUAUCCGGAAUUAUUGGGCGUAAAGCGCGCGCAGGUGGUUUCUUAAGUCUGAUGUGAAAGCCCACGGCUCAACCGUGGAGGGUCAUUGGAAACUGGGAGACUUGAGUGCAGAAGAGGAAAGUGGAAUUCCAUGUGUAGCGGUGAAAUGCGUAGAGAUAUGGAGGAACACCAGUGGCG
rnacentral:rRNA from 1 species